UUGCUCACACCUCUUGCAUAGGAGUCAGUAUCCACUGUUGGGAAUUUGGAGGCUUCCAAGAAACUAAAGAACAUAGUUCUGGGACUUCUAGUGCUCACUAUUGAUCACAUCAUUUCCCAGCAAUAUGCCAGGACUGGCUCUAGCACCAUCUGCCAGAGAGGGCACAGCACAGCCUGGGAAAUCCUUUACCACUGGCAAUAGCAGACACCUCAGUUAAGAGUAUGAAUCUCUUAUGUGAACUUGUGGCAUGACUCCAAGGAGCGGACUGAGAAAUCAUUCCUCUUACAGCUAGAAAGAACCUGUGUUCUUCAUUCCCAAGCUUUGUGACAAGAAGUGUCUUGCAGUUACAGAUGAUGAAUUAGAGCCCAAGGAGGUCAAAGGACUUUUCAGAAUUCUAUUGUGUUAAUGUGUAUCUACAAGAAGGAAACAGUAUUCAGCCUUUCUUAAGCUUAUUUAACCAUGGAACUAUUUGCCACGAAGCAUUUUCAGGCACUGGUGUUCUACAAGAUACAGUAAGGACAGUCUUGAUGCAGUCCAGAUAUUUAAGCACUGGAGAAACACAUGGAAAAAAGAACCCAAGACUGGGAAAGAAAAGUGAGUUCCCAUCUUCAUCCUGAUUCAUGACGUCUUCACCACACACCGUGGUCCUGGGCUUAGCUGACCUGGAGAUCAGCAGACCCCCGUCUCCACUUCUCCUCCUGAUCACUCACUUGGCUUCUCAAAGGUUUUACCAGCAUUUGAAGGAGAAAAAUGCAUUCAAUGACACUGCUACCUGCCUGACAGCAUAUGAAAAAACGGCCCCUUCUGCAAGACCCACCUUGAUUUCAGAGAAGACAAAAUGUGUAACACAUGUACCCUAAAAUCGAUGAAUGUUUCUUCUUUUUGUUAAUUAUUAUCCAUGAUCCCUACCAUGGUGGUUUGAAGCCAUCCAAUUUGCUUUAUAAUGGCUUCUAGGAUACGAGGAGAUGUUGGUAUUCCCAGCCUUCUCUAGCAUGUAAUGCCAGGAUCCUUUAUUCCAUUGAUCUUUAGUUAACUGUUUACCACAUGCCAGGCACUGCAACUAGGCAGUUGCAGGUAGAGUGAUGAAAGACAUGGUUCUACCUGCCACACACCACAUCUUGUACUGUGUGCUCCUGCCUAGUCAAGGGGGCACUCAAGUUAUAAACCAGACUGAUACAUAGAAACUUAAUGCAGGAAAAAUUCUGAGGAAUCUGUUGAUCCCAAUUGGCAGAUGAAGAAACUAAAGCCUGAAGAGAUUCAUGCCUUGCAGACACAUACAUUAAUUAAUAAUAGUCGUAUGUAUUAUAUGUUGAUUUUCUUUCUGAAAAAAAGUU